rnacentral:rRNA from 1 species
UAGGGAAUCUUCCGCAAUGGGCGAAAGCUUGACGGAGCAACGCCGCGUGUGUGAUGAAGGUCUUCGGAUCGUAAAACUCUGUUAUUAGGGAAGAACAAAUGUGUAAGUAACUAUGCACGUCUUGACGGUACCUAAUCAGAAAGCCACGGCUAACUACGUGCCAGCAGCCGCGGUAAUACGUAGGUGGCAAGCGUUAUCCGGAAUUAUUGGGCGUAAAGCGCGCGUAGGCGGUUUUUUAAGUCUGAUGUGAAAGCCCACGGCUCAACCGUGGAGGGUCAUUGGAAACUGGAAAACUUGAGUGCAGAAGAGGAAAGUGGAAUUCCAUGUGUAGCGGUGAAAUGCGCAGAGAUAUGGAGGAACACCAGUGGCGAAGGCGACUUUCUGGUCUGUAACUGACGCUGAUGUGCGAAAGCGUGGGGAUCAAACAGGAUUAGAUACCCUGGUAGUCCACGCCGUAAACGAUGAGUGCUAAGUGUUAGGGGGUUUCCGCCCCUUAGUGCUGCAGCUAACGCAUUAAGCACUCCGCCUGGGGAGUACGACCGCAAGGUUG